rnacentral:rRNA from 1 species
GAUGAACGCUAGCUAUAGGCUUACACAUGCAAGUCGAGGGGAAACGGCAUUAUGUGCUUGCACAUUUUGGACGUCGACCGGGGCACGGGUGAGUAUCGCGUAUCCAACCUUCCCUCCACUCGGGGAUACCCCGUUGACAAGACGGCCUAAUACCCGAUGUUGUCCACAUAUGGCAUCUGACGUGGACCAAAGAUUCAUCGGUGGAGGAUGGGGAUGCGUCUGAUUAGCUUGUUGGUGCGGGUAACGGCCCACCAAGGCUACGAUCAGUAGGGGUUCUGAGAGGAAGGUCCCCCACAUUGGAACUGAGACACGGUCCAAACUCCUACGGGAGGCAGCAGUGAGGAAUAUUGGUCAAUGGACGGAAGUCUGAACCAGCCAAGUAGCGUGCAGGAUUGACGGCCCUAUGGGUUGUAAACUGCUUUUGUUGGGGAGUAAAGUGAGGCACGCGUGCCUUUUUGCAUUUACCCUUCGAAUAAGGACCGGCUAAUUCCGUGCCAGCAGCCGCGGUAAUACGGAAGGUCCAGGCGUUAUCCGGAUUUAUUGGGUUUAAAGGGAGUGUAGGCGGUCUGUUAAGCGUGUUGUGAAAUUUAGGUGCUCAACAUCUACCUUGCAGCGCGAACUGGCGGACUUGAGUGCACGCAACGUAUGCGGAAUUCAUGGUGUAGCGGUGAAAUGCUUAGAUAUCAUGACGAACUCCGAUUGCGAAGGCAGCGUACGGGAGUGUUACUGACGCUUAAGCUCGAAGGUGCGGGUAUCGAACAGGAUUAGAUACCCUGGUAGUCCGCACGGUAAACGAUGGAUGCCCGCUGUUAGCGCCUGGCGUUAGCGGCUAAGCGAAAGCAUUAAGCAUCCCACCUGGGGAGUACGCCGGCAACGGUGAAACUCAAAGGAAUUGACGGGGCCCGCACAAGCGGAGGAACAUGUGGUUUAAUUCGAUGAUACGCGAGGAACCUUACCCGGGCUUGAAUUGCAGACGCAGGAUACAGAGAUGUUGACUCCCUUCGGGGCGUCUGUG